AUUAGGUGACCGCGCAAGGCUCAUUAAAUCAGUUAUGGUUCCUUAGAUCGUACCCACAAUUACUUGGAUAACUGUGGUAAUUCUAGAGCUAAUACAUGCAAACAGAACUCCGACCGGAGACGGAAGGAGUGCUUUUAUUAGAUCAAAACCAAUCGGUGGCGGGCGUUCGCGCGCUCGUUAUCGUACAACUUGGUGAUUCUGAAUAACUUUAUGCUGAUCGCACGGUCUCGCACCGGCGACGCAUCUUUCAAAUGUCUGCCUUAUCAACUGUCGAUGGUAGGUUCUGCGCCUACCAUGGUUGUAACGGGUAACGGGGAAUCAGGGUUCGAUUCCGGAGAGGGAGCCUGAGAAACGGCUACCACAUCCAAGGAAGGCAGCAGGCGCGCAAAUUACCCACUCCCGGCACGGGGAGGUAGUGACGAAAAAUAACGAUACGGGACUCAUCCGAGGCCCCGUAAUCGGAAUGAGUACAAUCUAAACCCUUUAACGAGGAUCAAUUGGAGGGCAAGUCUGGUGCCAGCAGCCGCGGUAAUUCCAGCUCCAAUAGCGUAUAUUAAAGUUGUUGCGGUUAAAAAGCUCGUAGUCGAAUCUGUGUCCCACGCCGCCGGUUCAUCGUCCGCGGUGUCAACUGGCGUGUCGCGGGACGUCCAGCCGGUGGGCUUAGCUUUUUGCGGCCCAACUCAAUCCUGCCGCGGUGCUCUUCACUGAGUGUCGAGGUAGGCCGGCUCGUUUACUUUGAACAAAUUAGAGUGCUUAAAGCAGGCUAAAACUUCGCCUGAAUACUGUGUGCAUGGAAUAAUGGAAUAGGACCUCGGUUCUAUUUUGUUGGUUUUCGGAACCCCGAGGUAAUGAUUAAUAGGAACGGAUGGGGGCAUUCGUAUUGCGACGUUAGAGGUGAAAUUCUUGGAUCGUCGCAAGACGGACAGAAGCGAAAGCAUUUGCCAAAAACGCUUUCUUUGAUCAAGAACGAAAGUUAGAGGUUCGAAGGCGAUCAGAUACCGCCCUAGUUCUAACCAUAAACGAUGCCAGCUAGCGAUCCGUCGACGUUCCUCCGAUGACUCGACGGGCAGCUUCCGGGAAACCAAAGCUUUUGGGUUCCGGGGGAAGUAUGGUUGCAAAGCUGAAACUUAAAGGAAUUGACGGAAGGGCACCACCAGGAGUGGAGCCUGCGGCUUAAUUUGACUCAACACGGGAAACCUCACCAGGCCCAGACACCGGAAGGAUUGACAGAUUGAGAGCUCUUUCUUGAUUCGGUGGGUGGUGGUGCAUGGCCGUUCUUAGUUGGUGGAGCGAUUUGUCUGGUUAAUUCCGAUAACGAACGAGACUCUAGCCUGCUAACUAGGCGUAUUUUGACAUCGCAAAGGCCCGCCGGUAUCGGGGUGUUCGCGCGCUCCUUUAUCGUGCGCGGUUUUUACUGUCGGCGUACAAACAAUUCUUCUUAGAGGGACAGGCGGCUUCUAGCCGCACGAGAUUGAGCAAUAACAGGUCUGUGAUGCCCUUAGAUGUUCUGGGCCGCACGCGCGCUACACUGAAGGAAUCAGCGUGUCCUCCCUGGCCGAGCGGCCCGGGUAACCCGCUGAACCUCCUUCGUGCUAGGGAUUGGGGCUUGCAAUUGUUCCCCAUGAACGAGGAAUUCCCAGUAAGCGCGAGUCAUAAGCUCGCGUGAUA
rnacentral:rRNA from 1 species